rfam:Picea glauca, whole genome shotgun sequence.
UAUGAUAGGGGUUAAUGUGUUAAUAAUCACCUAAUCUAGACCUUGAAUAUACACCCCCUAACCUUCUAAAUCAUCGGCCCAUAACCCAUAACCCUUCUAAAGACACAAUGUGAUUUAUUCCCAUUGCUUUGCAUGUCAACGUGAAGAAAUUCAACCAAGCGCGGGUAAACAACAUGAGUAACUAGGACUGUCUUAAGGAAGCCAUAUGCCUCGUCAUCUAAUUAGUGACGCACACGAAUGAAUCAUUAACGAUAUUCCCCACUGUCCCUAGCUACUAUAUUCUAGAGAAACCACAUCCAAGGGAAUGGGAUUGGCUGAAUUAGCGGGGAAAGAAGACCCUGUUGAGCUUGACUCUAGUCCUAACCAAUUCAUAGUUUGGGAAAAUUAGAACAUAACAUUUGUCUUUCGGAGUCAAAUUGAUGAUGGAAACAAGUGGUUGUGUGAGUCAAAUUUGAGUCCAAAAAACCUCCCAUAUCGUUAAGUCAUGCGAAUAGUCUAUAAACGAUCAUGAUGGUAUAAACAUGAAUGAGCUUCUCUUGGUUUCAAGAAUAAUUCAUCCUCUAUUGAACAAGGCCAACCACGUGAAGGUGGAAGCUCAUAUGGCCCCUCCCCUCCCCCUCACACCACUCUCAAUUAUUAGUACGAUACUUAUGGUUCUUAGGGAGGAGGUGCCUAUACUCAUCAAACACCACCUUUCCUAAAAUUUUUGAAUGACGAUACUUCAUCUUAGGACCACAAACUCUACAUGCAAAUUUACCCUUUGUUUGAAGACCUACAACAGAUGGAUUAAUGUCAAUUAUAUGAUGAGAUUAU